rnacentral:piRNA from 1 species
UCCUCUAUUCUCUGACUUUUGGCCCUGCCUU